rnacentral:rRNA from 1 species
CCUACGGGUGGCUGCAGUGGGGAAUAUUGGACAAUGGGGGCAACCCUGAUCCAGCCAUGCCGCGUGUGUGAAGAAGGCCCUCGGGUUGUAAAGCACUUUCAGUGAGGAAGAACGCCUGGUGGUUAAUACCCAUCAGGAAAGACAUCACUCACAGAAGAAGCACCGGCUAACUCCGUGCCAGCAGCCGCGGUAAUACGGAGGGUGCGAGCGUUAAUCGGAAUUACUGGGCGUAAAGCGCGCGUAGGUGGCUUGAUAAGCCGGUUGUGAAAGCCCCGGGCUCAACCUGGGAACGGCAUCCGGAACUGUCAAGCUAGAGUGCAGGAGAGGAAGGUAGAAUUCCCGGUGUAGCAGUGAAAUGCGUAGAGAUCGGGAGGAAUACCAGUGGCGAAGGCGGCCUUCUGGACUGACACUGACACUGAGGUGCGAAAGCGUGGGUAGCAAACAGGAUUAGAUACCCCAGUAGUC